rnacentral:rRNA from 1 species
GACGAACGCUGGCGGCGUGCUUAACACAUGCAAGUCGAGCGGUAAGGGCCCUUUCGGGGGUACACGAGCGGCGAACGGGUGAGUAACACGUGGGUGACCUGCCCUCAGCUCUGGGAUAAGCCUGGGAAACUGGGUCUAAUACUGGAUAUGACUCCACGGUGCAUGUCGUGGGGUGGAAAGCCUUGUGCGGCUGAGGAUGGGCCCGCGGCCUAUCAGCUUGUUGGUGGGGNGAUGGCCUACCAAGGCGACGACGGGUAGCCGGCCUGAGAGGGCGGACCGGCCACACUGGGACUGAGACACGGCCCAGACUCCUACGGGAGGCAGCAGUGGGGAAUCUUGCGCAAUGGGCGAAAGCCUGACGCAGCGACGCCGCGUGAGGGAUGACGGCCUGGUGU